AGCAGGCUAGUGGCUGAAAUGUGUUCGCAGCAGCUCUCCUCCCACUGGGCCAGUCGUCGACUCGUCGUCGUCGACUUGUGCUCCCACCAUCCCCGGCCCCGACCGCCGGCGUGCGAACGCCGGCCCGUGGAAAAGGCGAGGACUACGGAUAAAGCUGCAAGGACUACGGCCGCCGGUGAUUGGGCGCCACGCCGUGCGCCUGGCCCACCACUCCCCGGGCCCGGGCUGCCGGCCCUGGCCGGUAUAACACACAUGCAGGCCGGGGGACCAUUACAUGGCGCCCCCCACAUGCACGGCGCCUCCGCCGCUGCAGAUUGGGGCAGCGGCGCCGCAGGCGGCCAGGGCCCACGGAAACAGUAAGACGAAGUACGCACCAACCAGAGAGGACGGGAGGUUCACGGGUCGUCUCUCUCGCCGGCGCGGCGCCUCGCUCUCGCCGGACUGGAGCUUAGUUUUACCAUGCGGUAGAACGGUGGGUUGUUGAAGCCGUUGGUGCCUGCGUUGAUGAUGGCAGGUGAGUGAGGUCUCGCCGCUCGCCGGGCGACUGUUCGUCUGGAUAAUGGGGCUGGCAGGGGCCACUCGAAUUGGGCUAGGGUUGCCUCAUCCGUCUUUGCCUGAAAAAAUGAAAACCUGAUGCGAUCUGAAUUUUGAAUUUUCAGGGAUGAGAUCUUUCAAAAGAAAAAUUCAGGGAUGCGGAGGAGAAAGGGGAAUCUUUAUCUUUUCACUUGCCAUGCACAGCUCUCUUUCUGUUAAGACUGUUGCAACUUAACAAAUGGAGUCCCAAGAAUAAGAUUCCACAAAAAGGCAGUAGUGUUUGGAAAAAGCAGCAAUCCAUGUUCCUGGCUGUGAUCCUCUGUCCCCUGUGGUGAGUGGUGAAUCACUGCAACUGCAGAACCUGGUGGCCUCUCAGGGGGAAAGGUACUUUAAUCCCGAUCUCAGUAAGGGGGUGUUUGGAUACGAGGUGUUAAAUUUUAACAGUGUCACAUCGGAUGUUCGGAUGCUAAUUAGGAGAACUAAACAUGAGCUAAUUAUAAAACUAAUUGCAGAACCCUGUGUUAAUUCGCGAGAUAAAUCUAUUAAGCCUAAUUAAUCCAUCAUUAGCAAAUGGUUACUGUAGCACCACAUUGUCAAAUCAUGGACUAAUUAGGCUUAAUAGAUUCGUCUCGCGAAUUAUACUCCAUCUGUGCAAUUAGUUUUAUAAUUAGCCUAUAUUUAAUACUCCUAAUUAGCAUCCAAACAUCCGAUGUGACGGGUGUUAAACUUUAAUAGGUGGUUGCCAAACAGGCCCUAAAUAUAAAAUUUACCCGUUGCUUCUAGCUCAAGUGAUCGGGGUAAACCUUUAAUGACGUUGAAAAAGGUUGACCUCAGGUUUAGUUGAGGAAUCAUUCGCAAAAGCAAGGUUUAGUUGAGCAACAAUGCCUGUGUUAUCAAUCAGUAGGAGUAUCAACCGAUUAUUCGGUUGGUGGUGGCUGGUAAUACCACCAUCAUUGCGACCAGCCUAGCGACAGCCCUCAACACAAUAUUCUAGUGAGCUUCCGUUAACUCCUACGCCAUUCUUUUCCAAGAAAAGAAACUUCAAAGAUUAGAGGAUACACUCGGUCAAAUCCUUUUCUAAUGCUUUUCCCCUGACCAUUCGAAAACAGAUAUAUGAGAAGAUUCAUCUGAAAGAGAUACGGCAAGUCAUAGCAAGAAUAGCCAUUGGCCAAGCAGUCCAGAAGAAAAGUAGCAGAAGCUCGUUCCAUUUCACUUGCAAGCAGGCUGCAAUGAGAUUGAGAAGAAAAUGAAUGCUUUU
rnacentral:lncRNA from 1 species